rnacentral:rRNA from 1 species
AUUGAACGCUGGCGGCAGGCCUAACACAUGCAAGUCGAGCGGAUGAAGGGAGCUUGCUCCUGGAUUCAGCGGCGGACGGGUGAGUAAUGCCUAGGAAUCUGCCUGGUAGUGGGGGAUAACGCCCGGAAACGGGCGCUAAUACCGCAUACGUCCUGAGGGAGAAAGUGGGGGAUCUUCGGACCUCACGCUAUCAGAUGAGCCUAGGUCGGAUUAGCUAGUUGGUGGGGUAAAGGCCUACCAAGGCGACGAUCCGUAACUGGUCUGAGAGGAUGAUCAGUCACACUGGAACUGAGACACGGUCCAGACUCCUACGGGAGGCAGCAGUGGGGAAUAUUGGACAAUGGGCGAAAGCCUGAUCCAGCCAUGCCGCGUGUGUGAAGAAGGUCUUCGGAUUGUAAAGCACUUUAAGUUGGGAGGAGGGGCAGUAAGUUAAUACCUUGCUGUUUUGACGUUACCAACAGAAUAAGCACCGGCUAACUUCGUG